rnacentral:lncRNA from 1 species
CAGGAUUGCAGAUCCCCCUCAGCUCCUUGGUUACUUUCUCUUGCUCCUCCAUUGGGGGCCCUGUGAUCCAUCCAAUAGCUGACUGUGAAAGUCAUGACUUGUGGAACAAAGUUCUGCUCAAGUAUGAUAAAAUACUCAGUGACAUCAUCUCCUCAGUAAAAUUAUGGAACAUCUGAUGACUACAGAUAUUCUACAGUGACUUUCAGGAAGAUUCUAACUGAAUGCCUAAAAAUAGAACAAAGUAAAGCACAGCCUAGAGAUAUGAUGCUGUUGACUCUUUUUUCUAUAUUCUGAAAAAAUACUCCCACUGAAAUGCAUGUGAUAUUUAAUAUUGUUUUCCAACUUGACAUGGUCUAGAAUAACCCAGGAGAGAAAGCAUUCCUUCUUACUCUAUCUGCAAUGCCAAAAACAGCUGAUUUCACCUUUAACAAGUUAAUGAUUUGGCUGAGGCCUGGCUGUUCCUGAUAAUUUGUACCACUGCUGCUGCUAUCCUGACACUAUGGGACUAGACUGCUGGUAUAUCCCUGAAGUAUUUGUGAGUGGACUGAGCUGCUGCUGCUGCUGGCCUCUGAUCAGAACUGCUGAUUUCCUGACAGCACAGAUUGGAUUUGCUCCUAAUAACAGUGUCUAAACAUGUUCACUUCCUCGUAUCUAUUCUUUUCCACUACCUUGGAAGGAUGGGUA